GCAUAACUCCCGUGAUCGCUUCGAUCGAAACCUGACCAAUAUUCCGGUAAUGAGACAUUGCCUGUGAUCACUGAUGAUCAUGUUUUUAUAUGAACGAUUUCGUGUGAGCUGUGAGGUAGCAAAUACGGUUAGGAAAAAUAGUCUGUAAUUUAAUAUAUGUCGCCUAUGCGCUUAGUCUGUUUUAUACUGUAGCCUGUAAGUAUUUUUUCCCACCAACUUUCAAAAUUCGGCGCC